AAAACAUGUCUUAUAGAAAAUAAUUUUAAGUCAAAUCUGCCCAAUGAAAAAUUUAAUGGCUGCAGUAUCAAUAACUGUACAAAGGUAGCAUAAUAAAUAGUUUUUUAAUUAAAAACUAGAAUGAAUGAUUUAAUGAAAUAUAAACUAUAUAAAAAUAAUUAAAAUUUAAAAUUAAAUUUUAAGUAAAAAUUCUUAAAUUUAAUUAAUAGACGAUAAGACCCUAUAGAAUUUUAUAAUAAAAUAUUUUUAAAAAUAAAAUAUUAUUUAAUUGGGGUAAUUUUAAAAUUAAUUAAACUUUUAAUAUAAAAACAUAAAUUAAUGAUUUAAAAAUCCUAAACUUUAGAAUUUUAAAAUAAAUUACCUUAGG
rnacentral:rRNA from 1 species